GUUGCUCUGCUGUGCCUGUGACCUCGGGGCAAAGAGGAAGUGGCGAUUUCUACACUCAAUGCCCGGGAACCAGUGGGCACUGAGAAUGGUUUAUGGCCUGACAUG
ensembl:snoRNA